rnacentral:rRNA from 1 species
GGUUAAGCGACUAAGCGUACACGGUGGAUGCCCUGGCAGUCAGAGGCGAUGAAGGACGUGCUAAUCUGCGAUAAGCGUCGGUGAGGUGAUAUGAACCGUUAUAACCGGCGAUUUCCGAAUGGGGAAACCCAGUGUGUUUCGACACACUAUCAUUAACUGAAUCCAUAGGUUAAUGAGGCGAACCGGGGGAACUGAAACAUCUAAGUACCCCGAGGAAAAGAAAUCAACCGAGAUUCCCCCAGUAGCGGCGAGCGAACGGGGAGGAGCCCAGAGCCUGAAUCAGUGUGUGUGUUAGUGGAAGCGUCUGGAAAGGCGCGCGAUACAGGGUGACAGCCCCGUACACAAAAAUGCACACAUUGUGAGCUCGAUGAGUAGGGCGGGACACGUGGUAUCCUGUCUGAAUAUGGGGGGACCAUCCUCCAAGGCUAAAUACUCCUGACUGACCGAUAGUGAACCAGUACCGUGAGGGAAAGGCGAAAAGAACCCCGGCGAGGGGAGUGAAAAAGAACCUGAAACCGUGUACGUACAAGCAGUGGGAGCCUCUUAAUGGGGUGACUGCGUACCUUUUGUAUAAUGGGUCAGCGACUUAUAUUCUGUAGCAAGGUUAACCGAAUAGGGGAGCCGAAGGGAAACCGAGUCUUAACUGG